rnacentral:rRNA from 1 species
UUUAAAUUGAGAGUUUGAUCCUGGCUCAGGACGAACGCUGGCGGCGUGCUUAACACAUGCAAGUCGAGCGAUGAAACUUCCU